rnacentral:rRNA from 1 species
CCUACACGACGCUCUUCCGAUCUCCGCAAUGGGCGAAAGCCUGACGGAGCAAUGCCGCGUGAAGGAUGACGGCCUGCGGGUUGUAAACUUCUUUUCUUAGAGAAGAAACUGACGGUAUCUAAGGAAUAAGCAUCGGCUAACCCCGUGCCAGCAGCCGCGGUAAUACGGGGGAUGCAAGCGUUAUCCGGAAUGAUUGGGCGUAAAGCGUCUGCAGGUGGUUUAAAAAGUCUAGUGUCAAAGCCCAAGGCUUAACCUUGGAUCGGCAAUGGAAACUUUUAGACUAGAGUGCGGUUGAGGUAGAUGGAAUUACCGGUGUAACGGUGAAAUGUGCAGAUAUCGGUAAGAACACCAACGGCGAAAGCAAUCUACUGGGCCAAAACUGACACUGAGAGACGAAAGCUAGGGGAGCGAAUAGGAUUAGAUACCCUAGUAGUCCUAGCUGUAAACGAUGGAAACUAAGUAUUGAGCGUAAGAGCAGUACUGUAGCUAACGCGUUAAGUUUCCCGCCUGGGAAGUAUGCUCGCAAGAGUGAAACUCAAAGAAAUUGACGGGGGCCCGCACAAGCGGUGGAGCAUGUGGUUUAAUUCGAUGCAACGCGAAGAACCUUACCGGGGAUUGACAUUUUGCGCAUUUCUUGGAAACGAGAAAGUCCAAACGCAUAAACAGGUGGUGCAUGGCUGUCGUCAGCUCGUGUCGUGAGACGUAAGGUUAAGUCCUGUAACGAGCGCAACCCUUAUUGUUAGUUGCUUGAAAAAGGAAACUAGUGAGACUGCCAGUUAUAAGCUGGAGGAAGGUGAGGAUGACGUCAAGUCAGCAUGCCCCUUAAAUCCCGGGCUACACACGUGCUACAAUGGUUGGGACAAAAAGAAGCUAACUCGUGAGAGCACGCAAACCUUAAAAACCCAAUCUCAGUUCGGAUUGGAGGCUGCAACUCGCCUCCAUGAAGCCGGAAUCGCUAGUAAUCGCAGGUCAGCCAUACUGCGGUGAAUACGUUCCCGGGCCUUGUACACACCGCCCGUCACACCAUGG